rnacentral:rRNA from 1 species
ACGGGAGGCAGCAGUGGGGAAUAUUGGGCAAUGGGCGGAAGCCUGACCCAGCAACGCCGCGUGAAGGAAGAAGGUUUUCGGAUUGUAAACUUCUGUCCUUGAUGACGAAGGAAGUGACGGUAGCCAAGGAGGAAGCCCCGGCUAACUACGUGCCAGCAGCCGCGGUAAUACGUAGGGGGCGAGCGUUGUCCGGAAUGACUGGGCGUAAAGGGCGUGUAGGCGGCCUUGUAAGUCUGGAGUGAAAGUCCUGUUUUCAAGAUGGGAAUUGCUUUGGAUACUGCAGGGCUUGAGUGCAGGAGAGGUUAUCGGAAUUCCCGGUGUAGCGGUGAAAUGCGUAGAGAUCGGGAGGAACACCAGUGGCGAAGGCGGGUAACUGGACUGCAACUGACGCUGAGACGCGAAAGUGUGGGGAGCAAACAGGAUUAGAUACCCUGGUA